rnacentral:rRNA from 1 species
GGGUGAGUAACACGUGGGUAACCUGCCCUAAAGUCUGGGAUACCACUUGGAAACAGGUGCUAAUACCGGAUAACAACAAUAGCUGCAUGGCUAUUGCUUAAAAGGCGGCGAAAGCUGUCGCUAAAGGAUGGACCCGCGGUGCAUUAGCUAGUUGGUAAGGUAAUGGCUUACCAAGGCGACGAUGCAUAGCCGAGUUGAGAGACUGAUCGGCCACAUUGGGACUGAGACACGGCCCAAACUCCUACGGGAGGCAGCAGUAGGGAAUCUUCCACAAUGGGCGAAAGCCUGAUGGAGCAACGCCGCGUGAGUGAAGAAGGUUUUCGGAUCGUAAAGCUCUGUUGUUGGUGAAGAAGGAUAGAGGUAGUAACUGGCCCCUAUUUGACGGUAAUCAACCAGAAAGUCACGGCUAACUACGUGCCAGCAGCCGCGGUAAUACGUAGGUGGCAAGCGUUGUCCGGAUUUAUUGGGCGUAAAGCGAGCGCAGGCGGAAAGAUAAGUCUGAUGUGAAAGCCCCCGGCUUAACCGAGGAAUUGCAUCGGAAACUGUGUUUCUUGAGUGCAGAAGAGGAGAGUGGAACUCCAUGUGUAGCGGUGGAAUGAGUAGAUAUAUGGAAGAACUCCAGUGGCGAAGGCGGCUCUCUGGUCUGUAACUGACGCUGAGGCUCGAAAGCAUGGGUAGCGAACAGGAUUAGAUACCCUGGUAGUCCAUGCCGUAAACGAUG